CUUUCUUCGGAGAGUUUGAUCCUGGCUCAGAACGAACGCUGGCGGCGUGCCUAACACAUGCAAGUCGAACGGUAACAGGGACUUCGGUCCGCUGACG
rnacentral:rRNA from 1 species